GGGGGAAGUGAUGAGAUUAUAUCCACACGAGAUAUCUGCAUUCUUUAUGAUGACAACAUCAUGCAUCACCAUCUGAUCUCUC
rfam:Sorghum bicolor cultivar BTx623 chromosome 8, whole genome shotgun sequence.